AGCGAACGCUGGCGGCAGGCUUAACACAUGCAAGUCGAACGGGCACUUCGGUGCUAGUGGCAGACGGGUGAGUAACGCGUGGGAACGUGCCUUUCGGUUCGGAAUAAUCCAGGGAAACUUGGACUAAUACCGGAUACGCCCUUCGGGGGAAAGAUUUAUCGCCGAAAGAUCGGCCCGCGUCUGAUUAGCUAGUUGGUGAGGUAGAGGCUCACCGAGGCGACGAUCAGUAGCCGGUCUGAGAGGAUGAUCAGCCACAUUGGGACUGGGACACGGCCCAAACUCCUACGGGAGGCAGCAGUGGGGAAUAUUGGACAAUGGGCGCAAGCCUGAUCCAGCCAUGCCGCGUGAGUGAUGAAGGCCUUAGGGUUGUAAAGCUCUUUUGUCCGGGAAGAUAAUGACUGUACCGGAAGAAUAAGCCCCGGCUAACUUCGUGCCAGCCGCCGCGGUAA
rnacentral:rRNA from 1 species